CCCUUAGAUGUUCUGGGCUGCACGCGUGCUACAAUGGCGUUUCCAGCAAGUCUGCGAACCCGAGAGGGUCAGCGGAUCUUCGAAUUGGCGUCGUGAUCGGGACAGUCGAUUGCAAUUAUUUGACUCAAACGAGGAAUUCCUUGUAAUCGCGAUUCAUCAUAUCGCGCUGAAUACGUCCCUGCCCUUUGUACACACCGCCCGUCGCUCCUACCGAUUGAGCGAUCCGGUAAAUGUUUUGGAUUGGUGCCGGGGCGGCUAGCUGCCGGUCGCUACGAAAUUUUGUGAACCUUAUCGCUUAGAGGAAGGAAAAGUCGUAACA
rnacentral:rRNA from 1 species